rnacentral:rRNA from 1 species
CCUACGGGCGGCAGCAGUAGGGAAUAUUGCUCAAUGGGGGAAACCCUGAAGCAGCAACGCCGCGUGGAGGAUGAAGGUUUUCGGAAUGUAAACCCCUUUUGUUAGAGAAGAUAAUGACGGUAUCUAACGAAUAAGCACCGGCUAACUCCGUGCCAGCAGCCGCGGUAAUACGGAGGGUGCAAGCGUUACCCGGAUUCACUGGGCGUAAAGGGAGCGGAGGCGGGAUUGCAAGUCAGGAGUGAAAUGCUAGGGCUUAACCACCGAACUGCAUUGGAAACUGUUAUUCUAGAGUGUAGGAGAGGUAAGUGGAAUUCUUGGUGUAGGGGUGAAAGGCGUAGAGAUCAGGAGGAACACUCAUUGCGAAGGCGACCUACUGGACCGUAACUGACGCUGAUGCGCGAAAGCGUGGGGAGCAAACAGGAUUAGAUACCCGGGUAGUC